CAGGGGUGAGGCGUGGGAGGGGUGCCCUGGGUGUUGCUAGAGAGGCUGGCUGGAUGCACUCGUGUGUGAUGUUGCCCACUUUGUCCACAGGGCACCAUGAAACGCCAUUCUUCACGGGACGCUGCUGGGAAACCCCAGAGACCUCGGUCUGCCCCCAGAACCAGCAGCUGUGCAGAGAGAUUGCAGUCAGAGGAGCAGCUGUCCAAGAACCUCUUUGGGCCGCCCCUGGAGUCAGCCUUUGACCACGAAGAUUUUACAGGCUCUAGCAGCCUGGGCUUCACCUCCAGCCCCUCCCCUUUCUCCUCCUCGUCGCCCGAAAACGUGGAGGAUUCCGGCCUGGACUCUCCGUCCCACGCGGCACCUGGCCCCUCCCCAGAUUCCUGGGUCCCCCGCCCAGGCACCCCGCAGAGCCCGCCCAGCUGUAGGGCGCCACCCCCAGAGGCCAGGGGUAUCCGGGCACCGCCUCUGCCAGACUCGCCGCAGCCCCUCGCCUCGUCUCCAGGCCCCUGGGGGCUGGAGGCCUUGGCCGGAGGAGACCUGAUGCCUGCACCUGCUGACCCCACAGCCAGGGAGGGCCUGGCAGCCCCACCCAGGAGACUUCGCUCUAGGAAGGUGUCCUGCCCUCUCACACGUAGCAAUGGGGACCUGUCUCGUUCCCUGAGCCCCUCCCCACUGGGCUCUUCAGCUGCCAGCACUGCCUUGGAACGGCCCAGCUUCUUAUCCCAGACAGGACACGGAGUCUCCCGG
rnacentral:sRNA from 1 species